AUUGAACGCUGGCGGCAGGCCUAACACAUGCAAGUCGAGCGGAUGAAGGGAGCUUGCUCCUGGAUUCAGCGGCGGACGGGUGAGUAAUGCCUAGGAAUCUGCCUGGUAGUGGGGGAUAACGUCCGGAAACGGGCGCUAAUACCGCAUACGUCCUGAGGGAGAAAGUGGGGGAUCUUCGGACCUCACGCUAUCAGAUGAGCCUAGGUCGGAUUAGCUAGUUGGUGGGGUAAAGGCCUACCAAGGCGACGAUCCGUAACUGGUCUGAGAGGAUGAUCAGGCACCUGGGAACUGGGACACGCUCCAGACUCCUACGGAAGGCGGCGGUGGGGAAUAUUGGACAUUGGGGGAAGGCCUGAUCCAGCCAGGCCGCGUGUUUGAGGAAGGUCUUCGGAUUGUAAAGCCCUUUGAGUGGGGAGAAAGGGCAUUAGGUUGAAACCUUGCUGUUUUGACGGUACCUACAGAGUAAGCACCGGCUAACUUCGUG
rnacentral:rRNA from 1 species